GGCCAUUGGCCUCCUUGAAUCCUCUGGAGUCUCUGAAGAUCUGCAAAAGCCUUCUUGUCUUCCACCCCAUGGUGACAGGCAUGGGGGGAGGCAAGAGUGGCCAGGAAUUGUCCUCUCCCCUGCACUGCUGGUGUGGGGGAAACGUAGGCGGGACCUGAAGCGAUGCAGCCCCCCUGGGCAUUCUCACCUGGUGGCUGGCUCUUUCCUCUCUGGGACUGUUCUAGAAUCCCUGGAAAAGUCUGGGAGCAGAGGCUCCUCGCAGACUCAGCCCUCUGAGCCUCAGGAUGGGCCUCGGUCAAAUGGGGACCGCUCACACCUGGCCUCCAUUGUAUCCAAAUGUGAUUACACAUCUGGGCAGCAGCUCCCCCCCCCCCCGUCCCCGCCCUGCCUCAAGAAGGAGCGCAAGGCGAGCGAGACUCCUGGAGCCAAGACGACCUUCACCCUUGGGUUUUGUCCGCGUGGAGAAGACAGGUGCCACAGUCCUGCUAGGGUGGAGGGAAUGCUGGCCCCCGGUCUCUCUGGAGCGAGGGGACUCCACGGAUCGGGGACAGGAGACACGCGUCUCCAGCCCCGGGGCCCGGCUGUGCGCGCAGGAGGGAGGACCCAGAGCGGGCUCUGCCUGGGCUUGCCUGGGCUUGUUCAGAGCCAGGCUGCUUGCCUCGGUGACUGCGCGGAUCCGGGGAGAUUUCGAGAUUUUGCGGGAGCCUUGGAACCAAGCCCCGGGGAGGAGGCGGCUGGAAGCCCGCGCGACCUGCUCGCCCCGUCCAAGGGUGAGCCCAGGGCCUGCCCUCUGGGGAGUUAAUAUUGUCGUGGCUGUUUCCAUGGUUAAGUGGUCCCAGGAAUUUUAUGAAAGAGAAGCAGCUGUAAGGAGCUUGAGGCUGCGUCAGCAGAGAGAGGGGGGCCCGGCCCGUGGCUCUCCGAGGAGGCUCAGUGUAAUUGGCUGCCUUCUGAAGCAGGCGGUUGAACUUGAGCAGUGGUUGGGAUGCCUGGACCCGCUCCCCAGGCACCACCUGUGGCCUCACACUCAGCCAGUGCUGAGAGCUCCAUGCUCACUGUCGACUUGGCUGGACAAGAAGCUAGUUCCAGCCUCCAAGGACUCCAGUUGCCACCAGCCCCACUAG
ensembl:lncRNA